GUCGAACGAAGCGCCUGCGGCGGACCCCUCCGGGGGAAAGCCGCGGGGGACUGAGUGGCGGACGGGUGAGCAACGCGUGGGCAACCUGCCCCGUACCGGGGGACAACAGCCGGAAACGGCUGCUAAUACCGCAUAUUCCCGCGGGGCCGCAUGGCCCUGCGGGGAAAGCUCCGGCAGUACGGGAUGGGCCCGCGUCUGAUUAGCUUGUUGGCGGGGUAACGGCCCACCAAGGCUGCGAUCAGUAGCCGGCCUGAGAGGGCGGCCGGCCACAUUGGGACUGAGACACGGCCCAGACUCCUGCGGGAGGCAGCAGUGGGGGAUAUUGCACAAUGGGGGGAACCCUGAUGCAGCGACGCCGCGUGAACGAAGAAAUAUUUCGGUAUGUAAAGUUCUAUCAGCAGGGAAGAAAAUGACAGUACCUGACCAAGAAGCCCCGGCUAACUACGUGCCAGCAGCCGCGGUAAUACGUAGGGGGCGAGCGUUAUCCGGAUUCACUGGGCGUAAAGGGAGCGCAGGCGGCACGGCAAGUCCGGUGUGAAAGCCCGGGGCCCAACCCCGGGACUGCACUGGAAACUGCCGGGCUGGAGUGUCGGAGGGGCAGGCGGAAUUCCUAGUGUAGCGGUGAAAUGCGUAGAUAUUAGAAAGAACACCGGUGGCGAAGGCGGCCUGCUGGACGACGACUGACGCUGAGGCUCGAAAGCGUGGGGAGCAAACAGAAUUAGAUACCCUGGUAGUCCACGCCGUA
rnacentral:rRNA from 1 species